rnacentral:rRNA from 1 species
UAGUCCACGCCGUAAACGAUGUGUGCUAGAUGUCGGGUCCAUAGGAUUCGGUGUCGCAGCUAACGCACUAAGCACACCGCCUGGGGAGUACGGUCGCAAGAUUAAAACUCAAAGGAAUUGACGGGGACCCGCACAAGCGGUGGAGCAUGUUCUUUAAUUCGACGCAACGCGAAGAACCUUACCUACACUUGACAUCCUGAUCGCGUUUUCUAGAGAUAGAUUACUUCAGUUCGGCUGGAUCAGUGACAGGUGCUGCACGGCUGUCGUCAGCUCGUGUCGUGAGAUGUUUGGUUAAGUCCAGCAACGAGCGCAACCCCUAUCGUAUGUUACCAGCAUUUAGUUGAGGACUCAUGCGAGACUGCCGGUGUUAAGCCGGAGGAAGGUGGGGACGACGUCAAGUCAUCAUGGCCCUUACGUGUAGGCUACACACGUGCUACAAUGGACAGGACAGAGGGUCGCCAAGCCGCGAGGUGGAGCUAAUCCCAGAAACCUGUU